AUUGAACGCUGGCGGCAUGCUUUACACAUGCAAGUCGAACGGUAACAGGGAGCUUGCUCCGCUGACGAGUGGCGAGCGGGUGAGUAAUAUAUCGGAACGUGCCCAAGAGUGGGGGAUAACGUAGCGAAAGUUACGCUAAUACCGCAUACGAUCCAAGGAUGAGAGCAGGGGACCUUCGGGCCUUGUGCUCCUGGAGCGGCCGAUAUCUGAUUAGCUAGUUGGUGAGGUAAAGGCUCACCAAGGCGACGAUCAGUAGCUGGUCUGAGAGGACGACCAACCACACUGGAACUGAGACACGGUCCAGACUCCUACGGGAGGCAGCAGUGGGGAAUUUUGGACAAUGGGGGCAACCCUGAUCCAGCAAUGCCGCGUGAGUGAAGAAGGCCUUCGGGUUGUAAAGCUCUUUUGUCAGGGAAGAAAAGGGUACGGCUAAUAUCCGUGCCUCAUGACGGUACCUGAAGAAUAAGCACCGGCUAACUACGUGCCAGCAGCCGCCGUAA
rnacentral:rRNA from 1 species